rnacentral:lncRNA from 1 species
CUCGGUGCUUGUAAUUCUUUUCUGUAUCCGAAGAUGAAUGACUGUCAAUAUUUCGGUGUUGUUUUACUUUACUGUAUCUCUUGAUGAGUUACUGUGAGAUCUCUGUGCAUAGAUGCAUUAUUGUAUCUGAAGCUGAGUGACGAACAGGAUCUCAGUGCUAGUGUUGCUUAACUGUAUAUUUAGAUGAGUGACUGUCAAGAUAUUAGUGCCUG